CCAUGACGCCGCGUGCGGGAUGAAGGCCUUCGGGUUGUAAACCGCUUUCAGUAGGAAGAAGCGAAAGUGACGGUACCUACAAAAGAACACCGGCUAACUAUGUGCCACAGCCGCGGUAAUACAUAAGGUGCAAGCGUGUCCGGAAUUAUGGGCGUAAAGAGCUCGUAGUCGUUGUACGUCGAUGUGAAAAUCUGAGCUCAACCUCAACCUGCAUCGAUACGGGCAAACUAGAGUUUGGUAGGGGAGACUGGAAUUCCUGGUGUAGCGGUGGAAUGCGCAGAUAUCAGGAGGAACACCAACGGCGAAAGGGCNNAGGUCUCUGGGG
rnacentral:rRNA from 1 species